rnacentral:tRNA from 1 species
GGCGCCUUAGCAAAGUGGUUAAUGCGAUGGAUUUGAACUUUCAAUUAUCCAUUCCUCUAUGAGGGCGUAGGUUCGAACCCUGCAGGCGUCG